CACGUAGGGUGCGAGCGUUUGUCCGGAAUUAUUGGGCGUAAAGGGCUCGUAGGCGGUCUGUCGCGUCGGGAGUGAAAACUCAGGGCUUAACCCUGAGCCUGCUUCCGAUACGGGCAGACUAGAGGUAUGCAGGGGAGAACGGAAUUCCUGGUGUAGCGGUGAAAUGCGUAGAUAUCAGGAGGAACACCUGUGGUGUAGACGGCUUUCUGGACCAUAGCUGACGCUGAGACACGAAAGCGUGGGGAGCGAACAGG
rnacentral:rRNA from 1 species